rnacentral:rRNA from 1 species
UACGUAGGGGGCAAGCGUUGUCCGGAAUCAUUGGGCGUAAAGCGCGUGUAGGCGGCCAGGUAGGUCUGCUGUGAAAACUCGAGGCUCAACCUCGAGAUGUCGGCGGAAACCAUCUGGCUAGAGUCCGGAAGAGGAGAGUGGAAUUCCCGGUGUAGCGGUGAAAUGCGCAGAUAUCGGGAAGAACACCCGUGGCGAAGGCGGCUCUCUGGGACGGUACUGACGCUGAGACGCGAAAGCGUGGGGAGCGAACAGG